rnacentral:rRNA from 1 species
CAGUCGCCAGGUAAUACGUAGGGCGCAAGCGUUGUCCGGAAUUAUUGGGCGUAAAGAGCUCGUAGGCGGUCUGUCGCGUCUGGUGUGAAAUCCCGAGGCUCAACCUCGGGCUUGCAUCGGGUACGGGCAGACUAGAGUGCGGUAGGGGAGACUGGAAUUCCUGGUGUAGCGGUGGAAUGCGCAGAUAUCAGGAGGAACACCGAUGGCGAAGGCAGGUCUCUUGGCCGCAACUGACGCUGAGGAGCGAAAGCAUGGGGAGCGAACAGGAUUAGAGACCCCUGUAGUCCCUGUCUCUUAUACA